CGUUAGCGUAACUCAAUGGUAGAGUGAGUAGCUCUUAACUUCUUUGUUACAGGUUCGAGUCCUGUCGUUAAUA
rnacentral:tRNA from 1 species